rnacentral:rRNA from 1 species
AACGAACGCUGGCGGCGUGGCUAAGACAUGCAAGUCGAACGGACUGUCCAAUUUAUUAAUGGUUAGUGGCGAAAGGGUUAGUAAUGGAUAGGCAACGUACCUUGUGCUCUGGGAUAGCGUCAGUUACUUCGGUAACUUUCCGAAAGGGGCGGUAAUACCGGAUAAUAUCAUAUAUCGAUAGCUAUAUGAUCAAAGAUUUAUCGGCACAUGAGCGGCCUAUCUCCUAUCAGCUUGUUGGUGGGGUAAUGGCCUACCAAGGCGACGACGGGUAGCGGGACUGAGAGGUUGAACCGCAACAUCGGGACUGAGACACUGCCCGGACCUCCACGGAGGGCUGCAGUAACGAAUAUUGCGCAAUGGGCGAAAGCCUGACGCAGCAACGCCGCGUGUAGGAUGAAGUCUCUCGGGAUGUAAACUACUGUCAGGGGUAAGAAAGUACGCUUCGGCGUAUUGAUCUAACC